rnacentral:rRNA from 1 species
UGGGGAAUAUUGCACAAUGGAGGGAACUCUGAUGCAGCGACGCCGCGUGAACGAAGAAGGCUUUCGAGUCGUAAAGUUCUUUUAUAUGGGAAGAUAAUGACGGUACCAUAAGAAGAAGCCCCGGCUAACUACGUGCCAGCAGCCGCGGUAAUACGUAGGGGGCUAGCGUUGUCCGGAAUCACUGGGCGUAAAGGGUUCGCAGGCGGAAAUGCAAGUCAGGUGUAAAAGGCAGUAGCUUAACUACUGUAAGCAUUUGAAACUGCAUAUCUUGAGAAGAGUAGAGGUAAGUGGAAUUUUUAGUGUAGCGGUGAAAUGCGUAGAUAUUAAAAAGAAUACCGGUGGCGAAGGCGACUUACUGGGCUCAUUCUGACGCUGAGGAACGUAAGCGUGGGUAGCAAACAGG